rnacentral:rRNA from 1 species
UAGGGAAUCUUCCGCAAUGGACGAAAGUCUGACGGAGCAACGCCGCGUGAGUGAAGAAGGUUUUCGGAUCGUAAAACUCUGUUGUCAGAGAAGAACAAGUUGGAGAGUAACUGCUCCAGCCUUGACGGUAUCUGACCAGAAAGCCACGGCUAACUACGUGCCAGCAGCCGCGGUAAUACGUAGGUGGCAAGCGUUGUCCGGAUUUAUUGGGCGUAAAGCGAGCGCAGGCGGUUCCUUAAGUCUGAUGUGA